GGCUUUGCGCAGAGGCAAUAUCGUAAUCAAUGAGGGUUUCCCGAGAUGCGAUUAUUGCUAGUUGAAGAUAGCAGGAAUUCGAGCAAUUCUUGAUGGCGCCACCUUCCAGAACUUUGCUAAGUUCUAGCCAAAGCAACAGGUGGACUAUCUCAAAAAGU